CAGAACGAACGCUGGCGGCAGGCUUAACACAUGCAAGUCGAACGCCCCGCAAGGGGGAGUGGCAGACGGGUGAGUAACACGUGGGAACGUGCCCAAAGGUACGGAACAACUCCGGGAAACUGGAGCUAAUACCGUAUGUGCCCGAGAGGGGAAAGAUUUAUCGCCUUUGGAUCGGCCCGCGUCUAAUUAGCUAGUUGGUGGGGUAAUGGCCUACCAAGGCGACGAUCAGUAGCUGGUCUGAGAGGAUGGCCAGCCACACUGGGACUGAGACACGGCCCAGACUCCUACGGGAGGCAGCAGUGGGGAAUAUUGGACAAUGGGCGCAAGCCUGAUCCCAGCCAUGCCGCGUGAGUGAUGAAGGCCUUAGGGUUGUAAAGCUCUUUCGCCAGGGACGAUAAUGACGGUACCUGGAUAAGAAGCCCCGGCUAACUUCGUGCCAGCCGCCGC
rnacentral:rRNA from 1 species